rnacentral:rRNA from 1 species
GUGCAGCAGGCGCGAAAACUCCGCAAUGCUCGAAAGAGUGACGGGGGAUUCCAAGUGCCUACGCUUAGCGUAGGCUGUUCAGAUGCCUAAAAAGCAUCUGGAGUAAGGGCUGGGUAAGACGGGUGCCAUCUGCAGUGGUAAUGAAAAACUUGCUACUGCAAGGCAUAAGCCGCCGCGGUAAUACCCGCAGCCCGAGUGGUAGUCGCUUUUAUUGGGCCUAAAGCGUCCGUAGCCGGUCUGGUAAAUGCCUGGGGUAAAUCGUGGGGCCUAACCUCACGAACUCCGGGUAGACUGCCAGACUUGGGACCGGUUGAGGGAGAGGGUACUCCAGGGGUAGGGGUGAAAUCCUGUAAUCCUUGGAGGACCACCGGUGGCGAAAGCGCUCUCCUAGGACGGUCCGACGGUGAGGGACGAAAGCCAGGGGAGCAAACCGGAUUAGAUACCCCCGUAGU